rnacentral:rRNA from 1 species
AGCGAACGCUGGCGGCAGGCCUAACACAUGCAAGUCGAACGAACCCUUCGGGGUUAGUGGCGGACGGGUGAGUAACACGUGGGAACGUGCCUUUAGGUUCGGAAUAACUCAGGGAAACUUGUGCUAAUACCGAAUGUGCCCUUCGGGGGAAAGAUUUAUCGCCUUUAGAGCGGCCCGCGUCUGAUUAGCUAGUUGGUGAGGUAAUGGCUCACCAAGGCUACGAUCAGUAGCUGGUCUGAGAGGAUGACCAGCCACAUUGGGACUGACAGACGGCCCAAACUCCUGCGGGAGGCAGCAGUGGGGAAUCUUGCGCAAUGGGCGAAAGCCUGACGCAGCCAUGCCGCGUGGAUGAUGAAGGUCUUAGGAUUGUAAAAUCCUUUCACCGGUGAAGACAAUGACUGUAGCCGGAGAAGAAGCCCCGGCUAACUUCGUGCCAGCCGCCGCAGUAACAC